UCCAGCUUCCAGAAUUUUUAAAUUAUAUUUAUUAAGUUCAUAUUUUUUCUGGUGGUGGGCAUUCUCAUUGUGAAUCUGAUUUUAGAUUUUGAUGUUCAGUAACAUAGCUUUCCCAAGGUUACAUACUUUUGUUUGGAUGACAAAUCUUUGAAAAUCAUGAGAUCCAUAUUCAGAUUUUAGUUUAAAUGCAAAUAUUAAAUAAAGAUUUUGACUUGUAAAAAUGUAUUAUCAGCACUAUUUGAGCAAUUCCAAGUAAAAUAUAUUCCCUACAAAUCUUUUCAUUUCAAAUGCAUAUCCAUCCAUAUGAAUUUAUAAUUGGUAUGCGAUUAUUUUCUCAACAACAUAGGAAGUAUUUUGCAUAAUGUUUGUAGCAGUUCAAAUGCAUAUCCAUCCAUAUGAAUUUAUCAUAGCAGUUCCACAGGGUUUUAUUGUUCCUUUUCUUUAUCUCCAUAACUAUUAUCUAGUCAAUGUUUCUAGUCUCCUGCACAUGUAUUGAACUGGACCCUUGUGUUUCAGAGAUGGAUAACUUUGCAGUUGACACAAGAUCCAAGUUAUUCUAGAGGUUGCCUUCAUUACAAGAUGAUGCGCCUCGCAGUGAUUUCUAUGGCACGUGCAACCACUGUGGUGCAUAAUUUGGCAUUACAGCAGCAGUUGCAAUACUGUGAUUACCUUCUAAGUUGUAACUCAUCUAAACAAAAAUCCCCUCAAAUGAUUUACGCAUUUCAUCCAUGAUUAUUCUACGGCUCUAUCUUGAUAUUUUGUCUUGAAUAUUAAGCAUGUUAGUGAAGAAGCGGAGAUAUUUUGCAAAUGGUUAAAACAUUAAAGUAAUUUUGUUUUGGGAACUUCUUUAAAAGAAUUUAGAUAAUAUUACUAUUAUUGAUUUAUUUC